UACGUAGGGUGCGAGCGUUGUCCGGAAUUAUUGGGCGUAAAGAGCUCGUAGGCGGUUUGUUGCGUCGGCCGUGAAAACUCGGGGCUUAACCCCGAGCCUGCAGUGGAUACGGGCAGACUAGAGGUAGGUAGGGGAGAAUGGAAUUCCCGGUGUAGCGGUGAAAUGCGCAGAUAUCGGGAGGAACACCGGUGGCGAAGGCGGUUCUCUGGGCCUUACCUGACGCUGAGGAGCGAAAGCGUGGGGAGCGAACAGG
rnacentral:rRNA from 1 species